rnacentral:misc_RNA from 1 species
AAUUAGCAGCUUUAGAUGAAUAAAGAUCAAAAUUACUAUUAAAUUUCACUUUCUUCAAAUUAUCCCUUGAAUAAAACUCCAUCUUUUUCUCACUUGAUUGUUCAUUAAAUUUUUUAACUCCACUAAUCAUCUCAUCCAUAACAUGUUGUGGCACACCAUGAUUCACAACUUGAAAAAAUCCCCAACUCUUACAUGCCUCACCUACCUCUUCAACAACUCUCCUACGUUGAAAAUCGUCUCCAUUCAUAUCCUUUAAAUCUAUAACUGGGAUCUGAA